GAUGAACGCUAGCGGCAGGCUUAAUACAUGCAAGUCGAGGGGCAGCAGUUUUGUAGCAAUACGGAAGCUGGCGACCGGCAAACGGGUGCGGAACACGUACGCAACCUUCCUUUAACUGGGAGAUAGCCCACCGAAAGGUGGAUUAAUAUCCCAUAGUAUAUUUGAGUGGCAUCACUUAGAUAUUAAAGCUCCGGCGGUUAAAGAUGGGCGUGCGUCUGAUUAGGUAGUUGGCGGGGUAACGGCCCACCAAGCCCACGAUCAGUAGCUGAUGUGAGAGCAUGAUCAGCCACACGGGCACUGAGACACGGGCCCGACUCCUACGGGAGGCAGCAGUAAGGAAUAUUGGUCAAUGGACGCAAGUCUGAACCAGCCAUGCCGCGUGGAGGAUGAAGGUCCUCUGGAUUGUAAACUUCUUUUCUUUGGGACGAAACCCCUGUUUCUACGGGGACUGACGGUACCAGAGGAAUAAGCACCGGCUAACUCCGUGCCAGCCGCCGCGGUAAUAC
rnacentral:rRNA from 1 species